rnacentral:rRNA from 1 species
UGGAUCCUGAGUACGACGGAGCACGUGAAAUUCCGUCGGAAUCUGGGAGGACCAUCUCCUAAGGCUAAAUACUCUCUAGUGACCGAUAGUGAACCAGUACCGUGAGGGAAAGGUGAAAAGUACCCCGGAAGGGGAGUGAAAGAGAACUUGAAACCGUGUGCUUACAAGUAGUCAGAGCCCGUUAAUGGGUGAUGGCGUGCCUUUUGUAGAAUGAACCGGCGAGUUACGAUCUGAUGCAAGGUUAAGCAGAAAAUGUGGAGCCGUAGCGAAAGCGAGUCUGAAUAGGGCGAAUGAGUAUUUGGUCGUAGACCCGAAACCAGGUGAUCUACCCUUGGUCAGGUUGAAGUUCAGGUAACACUGAAUGGAGGACCGAACCGACUUACGUUGAAAAGUGAGCGGAUGAACUGAGGGUAGCGGAGAAAUUCCAAUCGAACUUGGAGAUAGCUGGUUCUCUCCGAAAUAGCUUUAGGGCUAGCCUCAAGUGAUGAUUAUUGGAGGUAGAGCACUGUUUGGACGAGGGGCCCCUCUCGGGUUACCGAAUUCAGACAAACUCCGAAUGCCAAAUAAUUUAACUUGGGAGUCAGAAUGUGGGUGAUAAGGUCCAUA